UCUCACGGAUGAGCAAAGGAAAUGGUUUCUUGAGAUGGAAUCUACUCCUGGUGCCAAUGCUGGGAA
rnacentral:pre_miRNA from 1 species